AGAGAAAGGAUAAGAAGAAGUAGGUAAGAGAGAGAGUGAGAGAUAUCAGAAAAGGGAAAAGAAAAGAAAGAGAAGGAAAGAGGAAGAAGAGGAGAAGAAGAAGACUCAUGGGAUAAGAAGAGGAAUCCAUGGAACCACCAUCAUCAUGUCAUCUUCUUCAUCAUCUUGUUCUCACCAUCUUCAUCUCCAAGGUAAUCCUUACAGGUUGAAUCUAUGAGAAGCUGUUAUGGAUGUUUCAAGGGAUGCUGUUUAUCAUGAUCUUCCGCCGUGGAGUUGUGUGCAAUGAAGAUAUUGCACAUAGUUCUUAGAUUUUUAUUGUUUAGGCAUUAUUGUAUAACAUGUUCCAUUGAUGUUUUUAGUUUGGACAUGUAUAUAUAUAUAUUGAUGCCAUUAGGCACUUAUGUUGGAUCAGUACCAAUUAUUAACACUUGUAUGAUAUUAUUCUAGAUAUAUAUUAUACGGGUUGUUACAAUGAAA